rnacentral:rRNA from 1 species
UACAGAGGUCUCAAGCGUUGUUCGGAUUCACUGGGCGUAAAGGGUGCGUAGGCGGUCGGGUAAGUCUGACGUGAAAUCCCGCAGCUCAACUGCGGAACUGCGUCGGAUACUAUUCGGCUUGAGGAAUGGAGGGGAGACUGGAAUUCUCGGUGUAGCAGUGAAAUGCGUAGAUAUCGAGAGGAACACCAGUGGCGAAGGCGAGUCUCUGGACAUUUCCUGACGCUGAGGCACGAAAGCCAGGGGAGCAAACGGG